UGAUGAGAGGUGUCCCUUCCCAUGGCAGGGGAUUGGAAUUAGAUGAUCUUUAAGGUCCCUUCCAACCUAAGCCACUUUAUGAUUCUGUUGAAGCCAGAUGUAAUGCUCCUGGGGCUGCUGCUGCAUCAUAUCCCCAGUGCAUCAACCACCUCUGAGGAACCCUUGGGUCACCAGGAGAGACACUGGCUGGGUCAGCAAGUAAGCCUAAGCUCGAAAGAGAGAAAAAAAAGUCCGUCUGUAGACGCAUGUACUGCUAAAAACAAAAACCAGCCUACACGCAGAAGAGCGGCAGCCCCUACAUUGCGGUGUGCGUCCACACACAGCCCGUUGUUCCAGAAACUCCAUCUCCCUUCAGCUGUGAUCACUCCUGACUGUUUGCAGUCUGUGUGCAGUGACGUGCAUGGAAUAUUACUAUGAAAAUGUAUCUUUGAAAGACAAAGCAGCUUGGCUCCGCGAGCUGCAUAGAAGUGACUACAAAGACCAGAGUGUGAGUUACCAGCUGAGACUUUUGGACCUGGGAUAACAAGCUGCAAACCUCUUCAACUGCCUCACGCGUCAAAAGACUCUCCAUCUGUCAUUAAUAUGCAUCAAAGAUAAGGAUGCCUGUGGGUCAGGAUGAGCAGAAAAACAGUCCUACUCUGCAACAGAGAAUUCAAGGAGCCCAGGGACCUAACCCAAAUCUGGAGGGAGAGUUUUAGAAAAGCAUUUAAGUGGCAGGUUCCAGUGCAAGUCAGAACCAUGCUUGUAAAUCAACAAGAUCCUUUAAAAAUCCCACCGUGUCACCUGCCCUCAGCAUCUAGAGUGGUUGUUUAUUUUGCAGACAUCUUCACAAUUCCAUUCUCAAGAUUAUAAUUCACUUGGUGGUACCGCAGUUCUCGCACCCUUGAAGUUAAGUAAAUGGUUAAGUGCAGUGGUGGUUCAGAGCUAGAAGACUCUCUACCUUGCAGGAUUGAGCCCUUUAAUCUAUUCUUAUUUCCUUUUCAAUUUCUGCAAGUAACCCCAAGCAAGCUGGAAACACUAAGUGCAAAGUUACGGGAGAUGACUGUGGCAAUUUCUGAAUGACAAGAGCAUUUAAAAGAAAUGUCAAGAGUCUGUGGGCUGCAAGCUUUUAUGUUUCAAGGAGAAACAAAAAGAAAGGAGGGACAAUAAAUCAAACACAACAGCUUAGCGUGCUCCAUCUCUCAGAGUUAACCUCUUGAAAGCCAUGUCCCCAGCACAGAGUGGGCCACACUCUUUGAUAGGGUCCAUUAUUCUCUGUAGAGCAAUAGAGGUGGCAUGGUGGGCUCCUCCGUGCGUGCCCAGGGGCUGUGUACACUGCGCCUUGCUUAACAUGUGCUCUGCAUUUAUGGGUUAACAUCAAACAUGAGCUGAUUUAUAAUUCUUAAUCAAAAAAGGAUUAUAACCUAAUAAAUCCUACUAACAUAUUCUGUCUGGAGGUUAUGUGGUGUAGUUGUAUAAUAUACUGGUAGCCUCAUUCUCCUAAGACUGGAAGACUGGACAAAGUU
rnacentral:lncRNA from 1 species